CCUAGCUGAUAUGAAAUAAUUGGUUAGAUACUUGCAGUGUAAUCAGGCCCUUCGCUAGAGUACAAGCAAGUCAUGCUUUGCUUUAGAGCGGCAUACAAUUUUAAUCAAAUUUAAACGGCAAAAUGAAAUUAGUAAUCGUCAAAAAAGAUAGGCAUCAUAAUGUUUGCUUUAAAUUGGAAAAUAUCUUAUGGCGGGCUUCAGUGUAGUUACUACUAUUAAUAAUGUUUGGUACCAAUAUUUUUUUCUGACCAGUCUUUGUUUUUACUGAAUGUUUAAGAUCCUGCUAUAUUUACAAUUUGUGAAUAUCUUUAUUUA